CAUGCUAGAAGUCAAAACUAAAGAACCUUAAGUGAGCAUAACAAAAACAGAUGGUUCCUCUAUUAGGAUUCAAUCAGCAUAGCCAAAUCAGUAAAUGGCUGUGUGGUUAUUAUUGUUGACUGAAAUUUCUAUCAUUUUUGCCAGUAAUUCAGUUAAAAAUAGCAGCAGAUAAUAAUAGAGAAGGGUUGUAACUGAAUCCAUUAUCAGAAUUAAUACAAGAAUCUUCCUUCUCCUGAGUGUUGAUUGAAUUUGCUCCCUCCUUCUCUUCUUUUCUCUUCUUUUCUCAUCUCUUUCCCAAAGUUUCUUCUCUCUUCACUUCCUUUUCUCUCAUCUUUCCCUCGCUAGGUGGGGCUUUGGAUUCUUGUAUAUUCUGUGUGCAAAUAUGGGUUUUGGCCGCCACUUUCUCCUCGUCUUUCCCACAUUGCUG
rnacentral:misc_RNA from 1 species